CGGCCGCAUCAGCCGCCGCUGACCGUCGACGCUGCUUCACCAUCUCCUCCUCCACCAAAUCCCUACCGGCGUUCUCUCUGUAUGCCCCACCUCACGUGCGCCCCGCAGCAAACCCUAGCCGUGGCUCGGGCUCGUCGAUGCAGACGCGAUGGUCGCCGGUCCUGGCUUCCACUCGCGAUCCCCUGUUGGCGCCGCCGCGUCGCCGUCCGCCCCAGCCGCUUCCGGCCCACUCCGGCGCCGCCGCUGGUCGGUUCUGCUCCACCUCCUUAUGCUCCACGAUUCCCCGCUCUUCGAUUUGAUUUACAUGGCAUGUCGCUCGCCCUCGAUCCCGGGAACCCUAGUGGGCACCGGUGAUUCUCCCGCCGCCGGCCUUCGCUCCGGUCGAUACCGUCCGCCUCCAACGCCGCCGUUUCUCCGUCUUGCUGUCCCCCCAUCAACUCCCCACCUAUGCAUCUCCUACAGCACUGCAUACUCAUUCGACGGCAACCCUGGCCAUGGGGUUCGACAUGGUUUCCGGUCAAUUCGGCCGGCCGUCGGCUGUCUCCAGCGCCGCCACGCAAACACGCGACACGGGUCGACCUCCGCCCUCUCCUCACUUCUGUGACGCCGCUACUCGCACCCUCGCCCCGGGCUAACCUUCUCUGGUUCUGCGGUGAUGUGGUGGUGGGGCUGGUGUGGGGAUUGGUUUUGGUGGUGAUGUACAUGUGGGGAAUGCUGCUGCUGAUGUUGUGUUGCUGGGAGUGGUGGUGAUGUGCUGCCCAUCGUAUCCUCGACGUCAGCGGAACGGUGCUGCGUACGCAACCCCGGCGGUGACUACUUUGUCUUCCUCCAUUACGACACUGUGAGCUAUUUCCACUCUUCUCUCGCUGUCUAUGACCUUGUGUUAAUCUAGAUGGUCCUAGUGGCUUGGUUAUUAACUUGCUGAUAAGUUGGUUAUGCCAUUACUGGUCUAUAUAUUCUGGGAUAAGACAUAUCAAUGUGGUUGGCCUAUUUCUGAUUAACUGUGCUACCUGUGGUAUUUCACUUUGGAGGAUUUAAUCAUCCCAGACCUGUAUGGUUUCAGUCCCAUUAUUACUGUCAAGAUGGAAGAUUAACUUCAGUUAACUUCUAUCCUGAGCUCUUCAACAUGCUUAUAUAUGAGUUCAGGUUUAGUGGCUUAAAAACUUGUUUGCUGAUAUGUUGGCGGAAUGCAUAACUUGGGUAUGAAUCACCUGUGGUUUAGAGGUGAACUUGCAUGCAUGCUUAUUGUAGUGUUACUGCUGGAUUUAGAUGGUCUGGAGGAUUAUCUGAUCAUGUUCAGGGUGGUACAGUAUAAAUGAAUGUGUUGUACAAAGUGGAUGCUUGGCCAGUUUACUGGACAUGAUUAUUAGCUGGGUUUCUCUCACAAAUCUAACUGCCCUCACAGAUGGUUUCUCUCUUUCUAAAUGCAAACUGAUAAGAACAAAGCCUAUGCUUGAUUUCCUUGUUUGGCUGAUUUAUUCAUCCAGGUAUAUAUGUUGUUAUGUUGCCGCGGUACAUAUAUUUGAUAAGAACAGAUACUCCUACUCUUGAUUGGGCUUAUUUGAGCUGUUUCUCUAGUUCUUGCCUUCUGCUGGUAGUUACUAAAUCAUGAGCAUACAUGAUUUAGCUCCACGUGUGGUACCAAAUGAUGAAUUUGAGCUUAUGGUGGCAUUUGCUUCUGUCUAUGCCAUCAAGUGAUAUUCACUCAAUGGUAUAGUCUUGGGGAAAAUAUUGCGUAAGUUCACAGAUGGAUUUAAAUGUGGGUCGAUGUAUUUGGAGGGUAUUGCAGUAGGUGGUCUUGCUGAUUGCCACUGCAGUGCUUCCAAAACCUCUUAAAAGUUGUAGAAAAUCUUUUGGGUUAGUAUAUGAUGCCUUUGGCUUAACCCAGAUCUGAUGGUGUUUUAAAUUGGGUUGAACUUGGUAGCUUUUGUAGUUGUGGUAAUCUGGUGCUAGUCACUUUUGCUCCUGGUUAUGUGUUGAUACUUUGUAACUAUGCAUACAGCUGGAUCUUGAGCUAAUAUGGCUUGGUACCAUUUAUUCUACUCUAUUUAAGUUGCCAGUUUUAUUCAGGUUUAAUACCAAGUGAUGAUAAAAACAUUCAAACAUUGAUGUUUGAUGCUUUUCCUAGAUUUACUUGUCUACAUGCUAUGCUGGAACUAAUCUGUUUCGAGUUUGAGAUUUGUACCUCACUCCAGCUCCUAGACAAAGUGUGUGUUAAUCUGAUUCAAGCUUCUGGUCUUGAUGAGCUUCUCCUCCUUGAGCUGAACAUGCUCCUCUUGACUCCUAGUAUGUCACCACCAUCUGGCUACUAGUUACUGAUCUUGCAGCUCUAGCUUGGUUGUGGUGAUGCCCUGCUUCUUUCAUGGUUGCUUUCUGAUGUUAUCUAAUGGUCUGCUAAAGAACAGUUGCUGUUCUUGGGCUGCUCUUGUUCUAUCAUGGAUAAUGUGCUAAACACUUGUGUGCUGCAAGGGAUGUCUCUUUUAUAUGGUGUUCUGGAGUUGUGGUUGGUCGACACCUAUGCCAUGCAAAGGGGUGUGUGUGCUGCCUGCAUGCCCGCUGGCUCACUUCAACAAAAGAGGAGGACAUUCAACAUUUAGUUUAGGAUAUAAUGUCUUUUCCUUAUACUUGUAAUUGUAAUUAUAUUUUUAUUCUUUAUUCAAUUUUGUAAAGACUUUGUAUUAUUGUGCAAAAUUAAUAAAAUUGUAUGUUCCCUAUUC